AAGGGAGACCUAAUUCAGGUAGGAGACGAAAAAAAGUAGUCCCUACCAAGGAUCAAUCCCAAAAGGUCGGAGCGAGGCAAAAUUGGCUUUCAAACUAGGUUCUGGGUUCACACAAGACCUGAAUCAGGAACAAGGGCUAUUAGCUCAGGUGGUUAGAGCGCACCCCUGAUAAGGGUGAGGUCCCUGGUUCGAGUCCAGGAUGGCCCACCUGCACAGGCGGAAGAAAGAAAAGAAGCUCCGAAUCAGCACCUUAUCUUACUUAUAUAGUAAGAGAGAAUGCUGGCUCUGAGUACAGAGUCCAGAGGAACCUUGAAAACUGCAUAGAGCUAGGUGACAAAGCCAAAAAAGAAGACCGCAAGGUCAAGCUAAUAAGGGCUAACGGUGGAUACCUAGGCAC
rnacentral:tRNA from 1 species